rnacentral:rRNA from 1 species
UACGUAGGUGGCAAGCGUUGUCCGGAUUUAUUGGGGUUAAAGGGUGCGUAGGCGGCCCUGUAAGUCAGUGGUGAAAUACUCCAGCUUAACUGGAGGGGUGCCAUUGAUACUGCAGGGCUUGAGUUAAGUUGAAGUUGGCGGAAUUGACGGUGUAGCGGUGAAAUGCUUAGAUAUCGUCAAGAACACCGAUAGUGAAGACAGCUAACUAAACUUUUACUGACGCUGAGGCACGAAAGUGUGGGGAUCAAACAGG